AGACAAGAUGCUUUUGCGGGAAUCUUUCUCCCAAAAAAUUUUUGAAUUUCAAAAUUAUUCUUUAAAUAUCUUUUUUGCACACAUUUUGUUUGUUUCUCCAUUCAAUUCUCAGCUCAUAGGUCACAACCGAAACAGAGAAUCGGUCCGUCUCACUCACACUCGCUCGUGAUUUUCGGAACACCAAUUUUUCGCAUACAUUUCAGUCAGUGCUGGGCAUGUUGCUCGGCAACACUGUGUCGGGUUCGGUGGUCCUGAUCGUGACGCCCUUAGUGGCACUGAUAACUGGGAUGCUAAUCUCUUCUUCUGGAAGAAAUCGUCGGAUCCGAGCAGGAACCGGUAAUACUCAAAGGAUGUUACAGCUCUUUUCUUCUAACAAGUGACAACCAACAAUGGCUUCAAUGGCAGCGUUUUCUUCUAGCACCUUCUACACCAACCUCAAGUUUUACACCAAAUCCAACAACAGCAACAGCAACUUGAACUGAAGGGAACUCAUAUUGAGAAGCAAUCAAAUAGCAACAGUUGGUGCUAUCUUCAAUUUCAAUUUCAGACUACUUUUGAAGAGAAAUCUACUUUGGCUAAGGACGAGGCUGAACUUUCAAUGUUGAAAAAAAAAAGAAGAAAGCUCACUUGAAGAUUUGCAAUAGCUAAAAGGUACUAACAUAUACAUAUUAUUACAAAAUCACAAUCUAUGCGCCAAAACUUCGAAGUUGGCCAUGAUUUUACAUACAUACAAAUACGAAUAAUAUUUUUCUUAUAAUGACUUGGAUGACUUAAUAGCAAGCACCAUCUCCUUAGGCUUCUAUUUUAGUUUCUUAUUCAUCGAUAAGCUUUCGGUAUGUAUUCAUGUGUAUUUCUAUUUGUCAAUUGUUUAUUAUGCAGUAUUGGAUACGUGUCUUAGUUGCUGAGAGUUUGAAGAGUGUUUAAGCCUAUGGUGUAAAUUAAUUACUUGCUAUAUGUGUAUAUAAUAAUGUUAUUGGUGCUAUGUUGAACAUAUUAGUAAAAUAAGAAUAUUAUAAAGUAUAAUUGGAGUCUUUUGAUAUAUGUAACAAGAAGUUGGUUCUUUUCUUUUGGAUGAACUCUUUUGUUCUUAUUUGUUGAGCACCUGACGUGAUUAACCAAUAGUUAAAAUUUAUUCUUAACAUUUUGUUAUUGGAUAAUCUAUUAUGUUUGUCUUCUAUUAACUAUAUUAUUGUUUUUUUUAUUAAUUUUAUGUCCUAUCUUAUUUUUUAAAUAUUUAAUAUAUGAUGUUUUAAUUUAUCUGUAACUAAAUUUUAAGUAUGUCUAAUUCUUUGUAAGAAAAAGAGCAGGUAAAAGUGAAGGAGAGGAUUGAGAAAUGUGUAAAAA